AUUUUACCCAAUUGUAAAGAUAACCAUAAAUUGGACAAAUCAUGAAAUUAGCAACAUUUUUAGACAAGUAUAACCUGUUUUACUUUAUAUUUUGUCGGAUGACCUCCAGGAUUCUAGACAGUCGUCAUUUGCACUGGAAUUCACUGAAAUAACUUUGCAACGAAAUAACUUUGGAUACAGGACGAAAAAUUAAGGGAGCUCAUUUUUGGUCUUAGAAGAUUGUUUUUCUUGGAAAUUUUUUUUUGAAAACCAGUUGUUUUCAAUUGCAUCAAGGUCUUGACUUUGACUUUUUAAUAUCAAUCAAUUAAAAGUUUUGGUCUUGCAGGUCGCUCGGUCGUUUGCUGAAAUUGCAAUCAAAUCAAGUUUGGUUGAUAUUUGAUCACCCGUCAUUCUCGUUCUUGAUAUUUUUAUGUUUUCGGCAAUGAAACAAAAACUUUGAUAUUUCCAUAUAUCACACAAGUUAUAAUUUUUCAAGAAAAAGGUGGGUCAAAGCUUAUUGACAGACAGUUGAGCUACGAAACCUUCGUUGGGCAUCAAUGUACGUCAUGGACGAAAAAAGGCAUCAAACCCUAGCUCAAACAUAACCAUACGCCAGUGCGAUUCUGUGCACCAAAUUGGAAACUCGAAAAGCUACUUAAUAAUUCUCCAGCAAAAACUCGCACAUGUUUUCGAUCUCUGCCUCCUGCAGUUGUCUGAUCAGGACCAAAUUCUCCCUCUUAUUGUUGCUCUAAACUCUUUUUUAUCAGAACCAGUAAAUUGAAUUUCAGGCUGGCCGUUUUUAAUAUUAUCACAAAUAUGAGGCUGAAUUGUUCUAAAUUUGUUCUUAUAUUUUUAGGGUGUAAGCAGUGCAACUGCUAGCAAUCGCUUAAGGGAGGUGUUCUGGCCUCGUUUGCCAACAAAGUGAACGAGAUAUCCUUUAUUUGCUGACUAGUUUGAACAUUCACCGAAAAAGCACCCCUGGAUUGCAAACAAAAUUUGUUUGAGAUGAAGCAUUGUUCAUAAAAAAUUUUUGCAGCAGCUCGGCCUCAGCUUUUCUUAAUUUGAUCUUUACUUCUGACCAUUUUUGAGGCUCGUGUUCUUAUAAAAUUGUUCUAUUUUGUAACACAAAAGAGUAUAGUUGUUAGCUGCUACUUCAAUUCAAUCGCAUUGUACCAGGAGAGACACCCAGGGGGGGUUUGUAUGCUUAUAUACACCAAGCUACAUUUUUGGAACAGGCUGUGAUUACGGACUACAAAAAAGUAAAAUGCAUGUGCUUCCACGGCAUCGUGCCGAACUGUUUUUCUGCUAGCUCAAAAGGCUUCUUCUAUGGCUACACUUGCGCAGAGCAAAAUGUCUCCAGAGGAAGGUUUGUCCCAAGAAACACCAAUCGGAUUGACAAUUUAUCAAAGAAAAAAGAAAAUAUCAACCCGUCCAUGAUUUGGACGAUCUGGUACCGGCAUCUUCGAAGUAGGCUCUGGAUGAUCUGGUACCGGCAUCAUGAAGAUAAAAGACCAUUGAAAUACUAAGAAACAAGCAUGAUAUUAUCCAAUUUAGUAACGAUCAUAAUAUAUGUAACCUCUUUGAAAAAUCGUUUAGUAUCAUAAAAUGUUGCCUUACAAA